rnacentral:hammerhead_ribozyme from 1 species
AUCUAGCUGACGAGUCCCAAAUAAGAGGAGACGGCUGACCUAGAU